rnacentral:ncRNA from 1 species
AAGAAAGUGUUGAUAGGAAAUAGUAAUAGCAUUUCUUCCUAAAGAGAGUCGAUGGUUGGUGGAAAUCGAUGGUUGUAUGCUAUGAAUCCAUCCUUGAACUGGUUUACGGAAUAUAGAGUUCAUACUCUAUUAGUAAGUAAACCCGGUUAGUACCGUUAAUAACGAUGAGCCGGAAGAGGAUAACUCUUCAAUAAGGGUGGCAACGCGGGAAUUCUAUACUCUCGUCCCUAUA